rnacentral:lncRNA from 1 species
AUUUGAUAACACUUUUGCACAAGUAUUUCAAAGAGUUUAAGAUGGGUUCUGAUGUACUAAUAGUAUAAUAUCAUAAUAAUAAUAAAAAUAAACAUGGGCAAACCACGAAGGGAUCGAUAAAGAAAGAACAUUAAUGUGAAAAAAGGACAGGAAGGGGUCGAAAACUAAAAGCAAGUUGGUUCGAGCGUCACCACCUUCACGUGGAAGGGACGUGGAGCUCGAAGUUCUACACUCGAUUCCGAAUCAUAAGACAGCGAAGCACACGUGUG